rnacentral:rRNA from 1 species
CUACGGGGGGCAGCAGUGGGGAAUAUUGCACAAUGGAGGAAACUCUGAUGCAGCAACGCCGCGUGGAGGAUGACACUUUUCGGAGCGUAAACUCCUUUUAUAUAGGAAGAAGAUGACGGUACUAUAUGAAUAAGCGCCGGCUAACUCCGUGCCAGCAGCCGCGGUAAUACGGAGGGCGCAAGCGUUACUCGGAUUCACUGGGCGUAAGGAGCGUGUAGGCGGAUUAAAAAGUCAGAAGUGAAAUCCUAUAGCUUAACUAUAGAACUGCUUCUGAAACUCUUAAUCUAGAAUAUGGGAGAGGUAGAUGGAAUUUCUGGUGUAGGGGUAAAAUCCGUAGAGAUCAGAAGGAAUACCGAUUGCGAAGGCGAUCUACUAGAACAUUAUUGACGCUGAGACGCGAAAGCGUGGGGAGCAAACAGGAUUAGAUACCCCUGUAGUC